rnacentral:rRNA from 1 species
AUUCUGGCUCAGGAUGAACGCUGGCGGCGUGCUUAACACAUGCAAGUCGAACGGGAUCCAUCAGGCUUUGCUUGGUGGUGAGAGUGGCGAACGGGUGAGUAAUGCGUGACCGACCUGCCCCAUACACCGGAAUAGCUCCUGGAAACGGGUGGUAAUGCCGGAUGCUCCAGUUGAUCGCAUGGUCUUCUGGGAAAGCUUUCGCGGUAUGGGAUGGGGUCGCGUCCUAUCAGCUUGACGGCGGGGUAACGGCCCACCGUGGCUUCGACGGGUAGCCGGCCUGAGAGGGCGACCGGCCACAUUGGGACUGAGAUACGGCCCAGACUCCUACGGGAGGCAGCAGUGGGGAAUAUUGCACAAUGGGCGCAAGCCUGAUGCAGCGACGCCGCGUGAGGGAUGGAGGCCUUCGGGUUGUAAACCUCUUUUAUCGGGGAGCAAGCGAGAGUGAGUUUACCCGUUGAAUAAGCACCGGCUAACUACGUGCCAGCAGCCGCGGUAAUACGUAGGGUGCAAGCGUUAUCCGGAAUUAUUGGGCGUAAAGGGCUCGUAGGCGGUUCGUCGCGUCCGGUGUGAAAGUCCAUCGCUUAACGGUGGAUCCGCGCCGGGUACGGGCGGGCUUGAGUGCGGUAGGGGAGACUGGAAUUCCCGGUGUAACGGUGGAAUGUGUAGAUAUCGGGAAGAACACCAAUGGCGAAGGCAGGUCUCUGGGCCGUUACUGACGCUGAGGAGCGAAAGCGUGGGGAGCGAACAGGAUUAGAUACCCUGGUAGUCCACGCCGUAAACGGUGGAUGCUGGAUGUGGGGCCCGUUCCACGGGUUCCGUGUCGGAGCUAACGCGUUAAGCAUCCCGCCUGGGGAGUACGGCCGCAAGGCUAAAACUCAAAGAAAUUGACGGGGGCCCGCACAAGCGGCGGAGCAUGCGGAUUAAUUCGAUGCAACGCGAAGAACCUUACCUGGGCUUGACAUGUUCCCGACGGUCGUAGAGAUACGGCUUCCCUUCGGGGCGGGUUCACAGGUGGUGCAUGGUCGUCGUCAGCUCGUGUCGUGAGAUGUUGGGUUAAGUCCCGCAACGAGCGCAACCCUC